UUAGUACUCCCUCCGUCCGAAAAUACUUGUCACCAAAAUGGAUGAAAAGAGAUGUAUCUAGAACUAAAAUACAUCUAGAUACAUCCCCUUUUAUUCAUUUUGAUGACAAGUAUUUCCGGACGGAGGAAGUAGUAC
rnacentral:pre_miRNA from 1 species